rnacentral:misc_RNA from 1 species
GAUGAAGAACGCAGCGAAAUGCGAUAAGUAAUGUGAAUUGCAGAAUUCAGUGAAUCAUCGAAUCUUUGAACGCACAUUGCGCCCCCUGGUAUUCCGGGGGGCAUGCCUGUCCGAGCGUCAUUGCUGCCCUCAAGCACGGCUUGUGUGUUGGGCCCCGCCCCCCGGCUCCCGGGGGGCGGGCCCGAAAGGCAGCGGCGGCACCGCGUCCGGUCCUCGAGCGUAUGGGGCUUCGUCACCCGCUCUUGUAGGCCCGGCCGGCGCUUGCCGACACAUCAAUCUUUUUUCCAGGUUGACCUCGGAUCAGGUAGGGAUACCCGCUGAACUUAAGCAUAUCAAUAAGCGGAGGA